rnacentral:snoRNA from 1 species
GUGCACUUAACCAGCUGGGCCACCGCCUGAUUCCCUGUAGAACUCUUUUUCUCCUGGUGCCCGGUGUGCAGUGGCUGCAAACGGCAGCCUCCUGGGUAUGUAUGCAGCCUGUUGCUUGUAUAGGCUGCCCUAAGGGACCCUGGAGACAGCC